GCAGCCUCAGAGCACUCUUGGAUUAACUCCUUCACUAGAAGAAAUUAUCCCCCACCUCACACACCAGUAUGCUCCGAGCUACUGCUACUGUGUCUGCCAUUUCCCUUCCAUUAUGCCACAUGUGAAGAACAGGCCAUGACAAGGAGGGAUGAAGCUGGCAACAGCCCCUUGUGACGGUGGAGCUGAGAGGUGUUUUAAAUCAUACAGAGGAUCAAACUCACUGGACAUUGGAGCCAAAACAGAGCUGGAAGCAUGAUAAAUGUGAGUACAGAGAGGCCCAGAACGUAUAAUGAAGACCUGCAGUCUUAACCUACCCAAACAGGAUUUUAGAAGGAAUCUUGCUGUCACUCGCUAUGCAGCUUCCUGUUGUGAUUGUAAUUACAGUUUUUAUUGGCACUUCAGACUGUCUACCUCCCAGAGAGAUAACACUGUUUAUUAUCAAAAAGCUUUCUGGUUAUAUUGUGCUCACCACCACAACAUAUUAUUUCAUGGACUCUCUUUUUUAAAUUGGUGUUCACACAACGUUUUGUAUUCCAUGUAACCAAUAAAGGCUUA